rnacentral:ribozyme from 11 species
GCUCUGCACUCCAUAAAAAAAAAAAAAAAAAGAAAGUUUCCGAUCUUUUUUUUCUUUUUUUAUUUUUC